rnacentral:lncRNA from 1 species
CUCAGUGUUUUGUGCCUUGCAAAAAACCUGAGCCCUGGUAAGGGCUCCAGCUAAGUGUUAUGCACAGAAAUCUGUUGCAGAAUUUUCCUCAGAGGAUUACACAAACAUUAUGAAGUUGCAGCUGCUUUAGCUUGCUUUUCACUUCUUGUGUAUUGCCAGGCCUAGAGUUCGAGGUGGCUGUAGAACAGGAACAGUACAGACGCGUAUUACAGCCUUUCAGCCCUUGGUGACUCGGGCCAUUAGUUGCAGUGCCAAAUAGUAUGUGAUCAGCUUCUCAUUACGAACAGUAUUGAAACCUGUGUUGCCAAGGUGAUCUGACAGCCGUCUUUCCACAGGAACGAUUUUUGUCUGCUAGGACACUGGUACUGGCUAAGCGGUGAAAGUUUUGUAAGGACAUCGUGAAGGUUGGAGGUGAUUUCUUUCCAAACAUAUGGAAAAGAAAUUGGAGUGUGUAUCCUGGAUCUUUGCCAUUCAUUAGACAUGCAAAAAUGUUGGCAGUUGAGGGUGAGCUGAAGCAGGGGUGGGUAAAGCAAAACAUACCUGAAGUCUGCCUUUGAGCAGAUUUGCAGCUCCUAAAGUCUUCUGUGAUUUGGCCAGUCUGGAGUACUCAAAACCUUUCGCUUCAGUAAAAAAACAAAAGCUUCAACUCUGUUCUCUAAUUCUGUAGUAGGUGUCAGUGACAGUCUCAUGUGUGAAGAAUAAAGUCUCCGCUGUGUGCCA